CCUCGAUUUAACUUCAACUCAAUAAACACCUAGACAGCUGUCCUGACGCGUGUCUCAUUCGAUACCCCCAUAUGCUAUGCCUAAAGCCAGAAACCAAGUAGCAAUGAACAGAGCUCCCAAACGGAGAGAGGACUACCCUCCUACAGAAAUCCAAUAUGCGACUCUUCGGGGUCCGAGUGAGUCACGCGGACUAUGGACAGGCACCAUGGCACACACACCACAGAAC